rnacentral:rRNA from 1 species
UACGUAGGGAGCGAGCGUUGUCCGGAUUUACUGGGUGUAAAGGGCGUGUAGGCGGAGCUGCAAGUCAGAAGUGAAAUCUCCGGGCUUAACCCGGAAACUGCUUUUGAAACUGUAGCCCUUGAGUACUGGAGAGGCAGGCGGAAUUCCUAGUGUAGCGGUGAAAUGCGUAGAUAUUAGGAGGAACACCAGUGGCGAAGGCGGCCUGCUGGACAGCAACUGACGCUGAGGCGCGAAAGCGUGGGGAGCAAACAGG